ACGUAUAAAUAAAUAUAAGGUACUUGAAGUACAUAUACAAAUAAAUACACUUUAUAUGUGUAGUAUUGUUGUAAAGAAUAUCUGCUUCCUCAGUACUUUGAAGGUUUUGAAUUUCGCGCGGAAAUGCCUUUAACCCAUCAUCCCGCCUUAUUGUUUUAUGUGCGUGUCUCUUGCAACAGAGGAACCGAGUAUGUACGAGUCGAAAUAAUAAAGAAUUCUACGCCUCAAGAAAAGUUCAUUAAUCGAAUAACAACAGUAUGCAAAUAAAUACCUGAAGAAUAAGAGAUGAAAUACAAAUAAACAGAAGAUAUAACUUGCAGUAUAUAAACACAACGUACAAAUAAACAUGUUCAUACGUAAUUUAUAAAUACAAAGGAUUUAAACAGACGCAGAAUUAAUAGUGAGUUUCGUUAUGAAUAAAGUUCAUCGAGCAAUCACGUCCGUUUCAGGUUGCGAUCAGAUUAGAGCUGUGUCUCCUGGAUGAACACACGCGUGCAUGUUCAACGAUACAUAAUUCAUAAUACUCGUUCGAGGGACGAACAUGUUUCUGAUUUUCCUUAUAAAUCUGAUAACUGUGGCUGACUAUGAGUCGUCGGAAUAAUGCAUUAACUGGAGCUCGGUUUUAACUACAACAUAUAUUCCCUUUAAAGAGGAACUUGUAUUUUAUAAAAAUGCAUUAACAACUGACACUUU